UACGUAGGGUGCAAGCGUUGUCCGGAAUUAUUGGGCGUAAAGAGCUCGUAGGCGGUUUGUCGCGUCGAAUGUGAAAACCCGGGGCUCAACUCCGGGCCUGCAUUCGAUACGGGCAGACUAGAGUUCGGUAGGGGAGACUGGAAUUCCUGGUGUAGCGGUGAAAUGCGCAGAUAUCAGGAGGAACACCGGUGGCGAAGGCGGCUCUCUGGUACGGGAACUGACGCUGAGACGCGAAAGCGUGGGGAGCGAACAGG
rnacentral:rRNA from 1 species